CUAUGUAAUUGGGUUUGGGGUGGACCGUGGGGGCCAGCCUCAGGGCAUUUGUAGAUAUUACCUGCCUACUUCCUUAUGUGAGAAUAUGGAAGCUUAGCGAAAGGCUGUGUGUAUCCAUGAUGAUUCAGUAGUUUGUGCUGUGUGAUGAUGUGUUCUAUAAUCAGUUGCUGAGCUCAUGAAGACUCUAGAAAGGGAGAAAAAGGCUUCCACUCCAGGAGCUGAGAAGGGAGAAAAAGGGAAGAAGGAGAAGAAGAAACAAAGAAGAAAGAAAGGGGAAAAGAAGUAUAAGGGAAUGGUUAACUGCCCUUAACUCUCCUAUUUCUGACAAUGCAAGCAGAGCUGGAUACAAGACUGAAGAUUUAGGGAUAUCCUACAGCUUCUAACAUUUGGCCAUAGGAUAUAGGGGACACUGCCUGUAAUUUAAUCUUGAAGGUGA
rnacentral:lncRNA from 1 species